rnacentral:rRNA from 1 species
UACGUAGGGUGCAAGCGUUAAUCGGAAUUACUGGGCGUAAAGCGUGCGCAGGCGGUUAUGUAAGACAGUUGUGAAAUCCCCGGGCUCAACCUGGGAACUGCAUCUGUGACUGCAUAGCUAGAGUACGGUAGAGGGGGAUGGAAUUCCGCGUGUAGCAGUGAAAUGCGUAGAUAUGCGGAGGAACACCGAUGGCGAAGGCAAUCCCCUGGACCUGUACUGACGCUCAUGCACGAGAGCGUGGGGAGCAAACAGG